rnacentral:rRNA from 1 species
GUGGAAGCGCCGUCGCUCAACGGAUAAAAGGUACCCCGGGGAUAACAGGCUGAUCUUGCCCAAGAGUCCAUAUCGACGGCAUGGUUUGGCACCUCGAUGUCGGCUCGUCGCAUCCUGGGGGUGGAGUAGCUCCCAAGGGUUGGGCUGUUCGCCCAUUAAAGCGGUACGCGAGCUGGGUUUAGAACGUCGUGAGACAGUUCGGUCCCUAUCCUCUGUGCGCGUAGGAAACUUGAGAAGGGCUGUCCCUAGUACGAGAGGACCGGGAUGGACGAACCUCUGGUGUGUCAGUUGUUCUGCCAAGAGCACCGCUGAUUAGCUACGUUCGGAAGUGAUAACCGCUGAAAGCAUCUAAGCGGGAAGCACGCUUCAAGAUGAGGUUUCCAUGGGGUUUACCCCGAGAGGCUCCCGGCUAGACUACCGGGUUGAUAGGCCAGACGUGGAAGUGCAGUAAUGCAUGUAGCUGACUGGUACUAAUAAGCCGAUAACUUGAUACA